GGAUCUGCAGAUCAGCAUCACCUGGGAAUCUGCCAGCCCCUGCUAAGUCAGAAAAACUGCGAGUAAGGCUCAGCAACCUGCAGUCUCAUGAGCCCUCCAAUUGAUUCUGAUGCACAUUCAAGUUUGAGAAGCAACAGCCGUGCUGCUGAGGUGGUUGCCGGCCUGCUGCCUCCCACAGAGCCCGCAAGGCAGGAACGUGACACACCCAUCUCAGCAGCCUCACCAGCAUGGCAACCUGGCACUUAACAACAGGCAGAAGCCACCUGGGAUGGAAGAAGGAGAACCCCAGACUCCCCUGAAAGAAGGCAGAGGCCAGUCCUCUGAGGGAUGGGGCAGCCAUCCCUCAGAAUGUGAAAGGAGAGCCAGUGUUCACAUGCUCUGGACUCAUGGAAGUCAAAGAAAAGCCCUCUGCUAUCCCAAUCUGCCGGGUCAGCAAUAAGAAAUAGAAGAAAACCGAUUUGGCAACAUCCAGAGGGUAUUAAAUAUUCAUCCUGACUGCCCAUCAGUAAAAUCCCAGCAGAAUACACCCUCUGACAAGUCGGCUUUCCACCACUAGAGGCUGUCCUCAUGGAAGCUUGUUUAUGGCUUUGUCAAUUUUAAUGUACAAUAUUUAAUAGCCAAACCAAGAUAUUGUCAUAAACAUUUGGAAAAUGA